rnacentral:rRNA from 1 species
AACGAACGCUGGCGGCAGGCCUAACACAUGCAAGUCGAGCGAGGACUUCGGUUCUAGCGGCGGACGGGUGAGUAACGCGUGGGAAUGUGCCCUUCUCUACGGAAUAGCCCUGGGAAACUGGGAGUAAUACCGUAUACGCCCUUUUGGGGAAAGAUUUAUCGGAGAAGGAUCAGCCCGCGUUGGAUUAGGUAGUUGGUGGGGUAAUGGCCUACCAAGCCGACGAUCCAUAGCUGGUUUGAGAGGAUGAUCAGCCACACUGGGACUGAGACACGGCCCAGACUCCUACGGGAGGCAGCAGUGGGGAAUCUUAGACAAUGGGGGCAACCCUGAUCUAGCCAUGCCGCGUGAGGGAUGAAGGCCUUAGGGUUGUAAAGCUCUUUCAGCUGGGAAGAUAAUGACGGUACCAGCAGAAGAAGCCCCGGCUAACUCCGUG